AGCCUUGCUGAAUUAUUCACCCGUGUCUUUUGCGUACUUCUUGUUUCCUUGGUGGGUUCGCCCACCAUAGGACAAACCAUAAACCUUUUGUAAUUGCAAUCAGCGUCAGUAAAAAAAUUAAUAAUUACAACUUUUAACAACGGAUCUCUUGGUUCUGGCAUCGAUGAAGAACGCAGCGAAAUGCGAUAAGUAGUGUGAAUUGCAGAAUUCAGUGAAUCAUCGAAUCUUUGAACGCACAUUGCGCCCUUUGGUAUUCCAAAGGGCAUGCCUGUUCGAGCGUCAUUUGUACCCUCAAGCUUUGCUUGGUGUUGGGCGUCUUGUCUCCAGUUCGCUGGAGACUCGCCUUAAAGUAAUUGGCAGCCGGCCUACUGGUUUCGGAGCGCAGCACAAGUCGCGCUCUCUUCCAGCCAAGGUCAGCAUCCACAAAGCCUUUUUUCAACUUUUGACCUCGGAUCAGGUAGGGAUACCCGCUGAACUUAAGCAUA
rnacentral:rRNA from 1 species